GCUACCUCUGUAUUAAUGUGUGUAGGUGUAAAGUAUGAAAAUGCAUCUGCUGAAGAUGGAUUCAUGUCUCCAUAUGCUACCUCUAUAUUAAUGUGUGUAGGUGUAAAGUAUGAAAAUGCAUCUGCUGAAGAUGGAUUCAUGUCUCCAUAUGCUACCUCUGUAUCAACAGCAUUUACUAAUUAUGCGAACUUUCAUGAGAACUGUGUAAAUUCCUCUGUCACAUUAUAUAUGCAAUGGGCUCCAUAUAUUAUCAUCAUUGAGACCCUCCUGAUGAUUAUGGUUGAAAAAAUGUUCCUGAAAAUGCCCCGGGUUGCGGGAAGAAUUGAGAGAUUCUACAACAACAUUGUAGAAGAAUCCUUGUUUGGAAAGGAUCCUGAUGUAGCUGAGGAUGUUUCUGAUGACAAGGCAAACACUGAAGCAAUAUCUCGCAAAAGACGUAGAAACGAGGUCUGUAUGUCAUUAAAGACAUCAAAUGUUAUAAGUCAAUCCUAUGUUCUCAAGAACAUCAUGGAGAUCUGUAUGUUAGCAAUCAUCAUUCCAUUCAACAUAUAUUUUACAAUUGAGGCUGAAGUAAAUCUGAAUCCUAAUGUUUGUAAGCUUGAAAUACUUCAUCUUCCCGAUCUUGGCUUUGCAAAUGGUUCCGUCUAUUUCCAAUGUAUGGGUAAAAAGAUCCAGUUUUUUCUGACCAUAAUCUUGGUUCAAGUGGCUUUCCAGACUGCUGUUAUUUUUACAAGUCUUGGAUCUCUGAUUUGGUGCCUGUUUGGUAGAAGUAUCUCCAGGAUGUUGAACAAAAUUCAACAAGACGUUAAUUUCAAGGAUAUUGAACCUGUUAUUGGAUCAGACUUUAUAUUUUUGAUGGAUCUUCUUGCUCAUUCCUCAGGUCUGGAAUCUACCCUAAGAGUGUUAACCCACUCGGAUGAAACUUUCCGAAGAAUCUGUUUACCCAGGUUGACCUUUGACGCAGACCAUAUUAUGGCAGAAGAAACUAGUCUGACAAUAACUUGGUCUGCAGCUAAAAUAGAGGAAUGGUUGGUUGAGCAUUCUCAUCGAGGAAUAAUGGUUGACUGCUAUGAUGUCACCAUAUUUCCUGCUGAGUCUAUUAAGAAUACAGUCAGCAAGAAGGCAAAGCUGAAAAAAGCUCGGCAAGAGCUUUUGGACAUUGACAACAAUUACACCGCAUGCUUUACUGAUUUGGAAGGUGGUAGAACAGAAUACAUUGUAACGAUCGCCUGUGUGAUUGGCAGGUCUAGAAUGAAAGGUGAAAGAAUCGUCACAAAUCUUUUACCUUUUGGACCAGUCAAACCAAGGAAUGGAAUGUGUAAAAGUACAGAGACUCAUGAAGUGGAGAUAUCAUGGGAAACACCAAAAGGAGACUUUACCAAAUAUGUUCUUAUAGUUGAUCCUAUUCUGGAUGCUGCUAAACCAGAUGGAAGAGAAGGAAAACUGCAAUCUUCAAGUGGAAUAAGAUUUAAUGAUAGAGAAUCUGUAGAUAUGGACUUGAAUCCAAGCCUCAUGCCAAAUGGUCUGCAAGAGAUAGAAAUUAGCAGCAAAGCUACUUGUUUUUCCUUAACAAAUCUUUCUCCCGGAGAGGCUUACAAAAUAGAAUUGAAAACCAAGACCGGGGAUAAGGUGACACGAAAACCAAUAGCAGAAACAGUUUUAACCAAGCCAGAAACAAUAUCUUCACUUACAGUGUCUGAAAUCAAUACAGAUAAUAUAACUGUGAGAUGGGUUGCUCCAGUAGGUCAUUCAAGACUAAAAGCUUAUAAGCUCACAUGCCAAUCAAAGGAUCUUAGUUUCCUGCGAGAACUUUCUGUGAAGCAUAGAAGUGAAAUUCCAGUAAAUUCCUUCAAGUUUGAGAACCUUCCCCCAGCAACUGAAUUAUCAGUGAUUAUAAGCAGUGUUUGUGUUAUUGAUAACCUACAGAGCGCUUCAGAGGAAGCAAAGAUUCAUUUUAUCACUCUACCACUACCACCAAGAAGCCUAGAAUUAGAAUCAAGGUUGACCAACAGUUUUAUCGUUAAGUGGGAAGCUCCUAAAGUGACCUUUUCAGCACACAGGUUCAAACUAAGCAUCCAGUGUACAGAGAUUGGGUAUAGCAGUGAGCAUGAAGUUAAUGGGGACAAGAGAACAUUCAACUUCUCUAAACUUCCAGAUAUUAUAGGCACAGGAGAAUGUUACAAAGUCUGUAUUUCCUACAUAGUCAACCCUCCAGGUUCAAGUCUAGAGGUUGAAUCGUCCAUAGUUUGUGAAAACUUCUACACUAAACCCCUUCCUCCAACUCAAUUAAUCCUUGGACCAGGAAACCUCAUCACUUGGACUAAUUCACCUUCAAAAUAUGUUAGUUUGUAUAAGUUGAAGUAUAAGAGUAUGGAUGAAGAAGGAAGAUCUGAAGAGAUCUUUGUUCCAGUAAAGCCUGGAGAAGAAACAUCCUCUACAAUACUAAACACCCUGAUAUUUGAAACACCCUACAAGAUCAAUAUCUAUGGUCUACUGGAGACUAGUGAUCAAGAGAACCUAGAGAGUAAAGAACUUCAUGAAAAAAUCCUACAGACUGACUCUGGACUGGUUGUGUAUGAUGAUGACGUAGAAAGACUGGGAGCAAGUUAAAUGGAAAUGUUUGGUUAAUUACAUCAAGUUGUCUACAAAAUGUACAAUUUGGCGAAUAUAUUAUAAAUAUGAUUUUAAAUUUUAGUGUAAUUUAUUAUGCUUAUUCUUGUUCUGCACCCACACUCUGAGAUGCAGGUCAUUAUUCUUCAUUACUGGUAGUCCUGGAGUCCUGGGUUGGGAGAAAUCAACAGAAUGGAUUUUAUUUCAAUAUUGUAGUUAUUUAUGUUAGAUAUUUAUUUUAUUCCUACAUUUGUUUCAUUUACUAGAUAUUCAAAAUUCAUUGAAAGGCCUCAUAAUUGAUUCUUUUACUUUCAGAUACUUUAUAUAUUGAUUUCGAUAUCUGAUUCUGAUAUAGACCAGUUAUCAUAUCAAUAUCAAAUCUGAUAAAUCUACUGAGGAAGCUUCAGUAUUCUCUAUUUAUAUUGUCAGAGAAAGAAACUAUGACCUUCACAGUAGUUAGAGAAUUAGCUGCAUUGGUCCUAAAAUCCAAACCAACUUUGAAACCUUGGUAAGCCGUUACCGUUAACUGCGGCACAUUUCUAACAAAAACUGUAGUGUUUAGGAAGAACUAAAACAUAUUUAAAACAAAAAGGAGUAUAGUUCUCAUUAUUAGAAGACUUAAGAUUGAUUGAUUGAUUGAUGGAUACGUUCGUAUUCUGCAAUAAUAUUAUCAAUCAAAGCUGGAUUUUGCCACGGGUCGAUGAGAAGAAAACCAUGACAAAGAUGUGGCAAAAUACAGGAGUAAAGAACCAGGAAACUUUCCCUUUCCACCUGAUACUUAAGCACAAUUCUGAUAUUUUUAAAUAUAUUUUAACUUUUAAGGUUUUCACUGAAUU